AUGGAUUUGAAAGGCAGAGCAAUGGGGAGUGGGGGGGAGAUAGAGAGAGAUCUUCUAUCUGCUGGUUGGAUGGGCAGGACAGGAGGCGGGGCUAUGGAGCAGGACUCCCAGGGGCUGGGCGCAGCAGUGGGGAGGGAGCAGUUCGUCCCAGCUCCUCUGGGUUUGUCCUGGACUUUCCGAGUUCUAGCACUAGGAGUCCCGCGUUCCUGGAAACCUCCCGGUCCCAGGCAUCUGUCACCCCUCACCCCCUGGGCUUGGGCUGGCAGCAGCCCUGGGGCCUCUGUCCAGGAUGGAGAACCAGGCUUCAGCCAGCUGAGGAGUCAGGACACCAGGCCGACGAUGGUCAAGGCUGGAGGGCGUUUUCAGACCCGUGCACAGAGAGAAUUUCCAUCCAGCUGGUUCCCCAAAUGCCCCAGCGGCCAGGGGUUAGGCUGAAGCCAAAAGCUUGGAACCGGGAACCCGAGCAAGGUGAGUGGCAGGGACUCAUCACGCAUGAGCCAUCAGCCCAGCCUCCCAGGGUGCACAGGGGCAGGAAGCUGGAGUCCGGAGCUGGAGCCCAGUAUCAAGCCCAGGUGCCCUGCUGUGGGAUGCGGUGUCCUAACCACUAGGCCCACCUUCUAUCCCUCCUUAGAUGGCUUUUAGCUCUAGGAUGUGUCUAAGGCCGUGCUUCUGACAGCGUGGUGCCUGCACCAGCGCACCACCAGGGAGCUUGCGCCCCAGACCCACCGCAUCAGAAGCACUGUGUUUUAGCAAGCCUUACAGCCGAUUCUGGUGAGGGCCAAGUUUAAGAAUCACCACUCAGGGCUGGCACUGUGGUGUAGCGGAUAAAGCCACUGCCUACAGUGCCGGCAUCCCAUAUGGGCACUGGUUUGAGACCUGGCUGUUCCACUUCCGAUCCAGCUCUCCACAAAUUUUUAAAGGGUGUUCGCAGCGAACUAGUAAGGAUGCAGCCCUGUCAUCUGUCGCCACCUCCCCGCUCCCUGCCAGGAUUGCACAAAGAUACUACAUUCACAGGUGGGCUCAGGACAGCUCCUCUGAAGCCUUGGGAAAAGAAGGGGGAAUGAGGGGCCUGUGCUGUGGUGUAGCGGGUAAAGCCGCCGCCUGCAGUGCUGGCAUCCCAUGUGGGCGCCAGUUCAAGUCCUGGCUGCUCCACUUCUGAUCUAGCUCUCUGCCAUGGCCUGGGAAAGCAGUGGAAAAUGACCCAAGUUCUUGGGCCUCUGCACCUGCACGGGAGACCUGGAAGAAGCUCCUGUCUCCUGGCUUUGGAUUGGCGCAGCUCCGGCCAUUGCGGCCAAUUGGGGAGUGAACCAGCGGAUGGAAGACACCCCCCCCCCAGCUGCCUCUCCUUCUCUCUCUGUGUAACUGUGACUUUCAAAUAAAUAAGUAAAUCUUAAAAAAAAAAAAAAAGAA
rnacentral:lncRNA from 1 species